UGGAGCUCAAAUAGACAACAAAGCUUUGCGGAACUGGUUAAGUGUUAGCAUAAAAUCUCUUAGCCUUUAUCAUGUUUAUUUUUAUAUUUUCAUUUUUACAGGACAAGAAUAUAUUUAUUUUAUUUUUACGCCACCACAGCGAAUGGGUUUUAUGCCACGAGCAUACUCACAUGGGGUUUACUAUUUUUAACAUUUUUAUUUUCUUUUCAAUAUAGCAUGAUUAACUAACAAGCUAUUUAAGAAAAGUAAAUAAUUUAAGAAAAAAAAGGAAUGCAGAAAGGAUAAAUAUGGAUAACUACCGAUUUUACCUUUCGGUGAGGGUUCAAUGUUUUAAGUCUUCUGAACAAGACUUCUCACCGUGUUCAUUCUUUAGGUGCGUCAUUUGAGUUAGGUGUGGACCUUGACAUCUGCACCUGUUGAUACGGUGUCACCCAUGUUUUUCGUUUGGCCAGCAGUUCGAAGUGCGGCGUUGGUAGCAUCCUCCUCAGUGUGUUUGUGCUCGUAGAUCCAGAUCUUUCACUUAGUAGAGUCUGGGAGUUGGAAAACUCCUCCAUAUUUUGCUCGAAGUGUAUCCUACUCAUAGAGACAAGGCAGAGAUCAAGUGCAUGGGCC
rnacentral:lncRNA from 1 species